CAGCCGCCGCGGGAAUACGAAGGGUGCAAGCGUUACUCGGAAUUACUGGGCGUAAAGCGUGCGUAGGUGGCGUGUUAAGUCGAAUGUGAAAGCCCCGGGCUCAACCUGGGAAUGGCAUCCGAUACUGGCAGGCUAGAGUUCGAUAGAGGGUAGUGGAAUUCCAGGUGCAGCGGUGAAAUGCGUAGAGAUCUGGAGGAACAUCAGUGGCGAAGGCGGCUACCUGGAUCAGAACUGACGCUGAGGAGCGAAAGCGUGGGGAGCGAACAGGAUUAGAUACCCCAGUAGUCCCUGUCUCUUAUAC
rnacentral:rRNA from 1 species